rnacentral:rRNA from 1 species
UACGGAGGAUGCAAGCGUUAUCCGGAAUUAUUGGGCGUAAAGCGUCCGUAGGUGGCUUUACAAGUCAGCUGUUAAAGCGUGGAGCUUAACUCCAUAAAGGCAGUUGAAACUGUGAGGCUAGAGUGCGGCAGGGGUAAGGGGAAUUCCCAGUGUAGCGGUGAAAUGCGUAGAUAUUCGCAAGAACACCAGUGGCGAAGGCGGCUCACUGGCCCGAUACUGACGCUGAGGCACGAAAGCGUGGGGAGCAAACAGG